CUCUCUCUCUCUUGGAAUGAGAAUACAAGGAAGAAGAAAAAGAGGCUGGGUUCUUGGAUCUCUCGCUAGUCUUGAAGCUUUUGGUGAGAUUCGGCUCUACAGAACUGAGAUAAAACGAAAGUUAGGGCACAUAUACAAAAUACACAGCAAGUACCCCCAAAACAAUCAAAGAAGAAGAGAAGGAAGAAGGGAAGAAGAGCACACAGAUUUAUGGAGGUUCACCCAAAUAAAUUGGGCUACGUCCUCUUGAGCUCGCCUCAAAGAUGUGGUUGGCUCUUGCACUAAAACAAUGGUGAUUACAACAAUUUCUGAGAUUCCAAGCUACAGAAGAACAGCUGGUAAUCUCUUGUAACUUUUCUUCUAAACUCUCUGUUUCUUUCUUCUUUUCUAUCAAUCUCACUUUCUCUCUAUUUCUUUCUUUUGCAUGAAAACAAAAAACCUCACUCUCUCUCUCUUGGAAUGAGAAUACAAGGAAGAAGAAAAA